rnacentral:rRNA from 1 species
GGGAGGUAAAUUUCUCCUAAGGCUAAAUAACGGCGAGAGACCGAUAGCGAACAAGUACCGUGAGGGAAAGAUGAAAAGAACUUUGAAAAGAGAGUUAAACAGUACGUGAAAUUGUUGAAAGGGAAACGAUUGAAGCCAGUCGUACCUUCGGGUAAUCAGCCUUUCGGGUGCGAUUCUGUGGAGUGUGAGGAGCUUAACACCUUCAUGCUUUGCAUAUUUGUGCUCUUGGGUGUACUUGCCCGUGUGGUUGGUUAACAUCAAUUUUGGUUAUCAUAAAAUGAUUGGAGGAAUGUAGCUUCGAUCUCGUAUUGAAGUGUUAUAGCCUUCGGUAGAUGUGAUGAUCGAGAUUGAGGAUUGCAACGGAUACCCUUCGGGGCUACCUGUCUGGUCUCUGAUCGUUGCUCUGGUGCCGAAAGCUUGCUUACGGUUAUCAAAGUCGAUGGUCAAUAGGUUAGAACGGGUUAAAUUCGUUAAGGAUGUUGACGUA